GCCGGAGUAGCUCAGUUGGUAGAGCAGCACUUUCGUAAAGUGAAGGUCGCGAGUUCGACUCUCGCCUCCGGCUCCA
rnacentral:tRNA from 6 species